AGUGAACGCUGGCGGUAAGCCUAACACAUGCAAGUCGAACGGCAGCACAGUAAGAGCUUGCUCUUACGGGUGGCGAGUGGCGGACGGGUGAGGAAUACAUCGGAAUCUACUUUUUCGUGGGGGAUAACGUAGGGAAACUUACGCUAAUACCGCAUACGACCUACGGGUGAAAGCAGGGGAUCUUCGGACCUUGCGCGAUUGAAUGAGCCGAUGUCGGAUUAGCUAGUUGGCGGGGUAAAGGCCCACCAAGGCGACGAUCCGUAGCUGGUCUGAGAGGAUGAUCAGCCACACUGGAACUGAGACACGGUCCAGACUCCUACGGGAGGCAGCAGUGGGGAAUAUUGGACAAUGGGCGCAAGCCUGAUCCAGCCAUACCGCGUGGGUGAAGAAGGCCUUCGGGUUGUAAAGCCCUUUUGUUGGGAAAGAAAAGCAGCAGGUUAAUACCCCGCUGUUCUGACGGUACCCAAAGAGUAAGCACCGGCUAACUUCGUG
rnacentral:rRNA from 1 species